UACGUAGGUGGCAAGCGUUAUCCGGAAUUAUUGGGCGUAAAGCGCGCGCAGGCGGUUUCUUAAGUCUGAUGUGAAAGCCCACGGCUCAACCGUGGAGGGUCAUUGGAAACUGGGGAACUUGAGUGCAGAAGAGAAAAGCGGAAUUCCACGUGUAGCGGUGAAAUGCGUAGAGAUGUGGAGGAACACCAGUGGCGAAGGCGGCUUUUUGGUCUGUAACUGACGCUGAGGCGCGAAAGCGUGGGGAGCAAACGGG
rnacentral:rRNA from 1 species